rnacentral:ncRNA from 2 species
GGGUGUUCCAGGGAGAUCCCCGGCAAGGGGCUGAGAAACCGAUGAGUCGUCCCUUGGCGGGCGGCGGCGCGGAAAUCCUUCGAACCUGAACCGGUUCAUACCGGCGUAGGGAUUGGACCGCCGUGUUUUU